rnacentral:rRNA from 1 species
GAUGAACGCUGGCGGCGUGCCUAAUACAUGCAAGUCGAGCGAACAGAUAAGGAGCUUGCUCCUUUGACGUUAGCGGCGGACGGGUGAGUAACACGUGGGUAACCUACCUAUAAGACUGGAAUAACUCCGGGAAACCGGGGCUAAUGCCGGAUAACAUUUAGAACCGCAUGGUUCUAAAGUGCAAGAUGGUUUUGCUAUCACUUAUAGAUGGACCCGCGCCGUAUUAGCUAGUUGGUAAGGUAACGGCUUACCAAGGCAACGAUACGUAGCCGACCUGAGAGGGUGAUCGGCCACACUGGAACUGAGACACGGUCCAGACUCCUACGGGAGGCAGCAGUGGGGAAUAUUGGACAAUGGGCGCAAGCCUGAUCCAGCCAUACCGCGUGGGUGAAGAAGGCCUUCGGGUUGUAAAGCCCUUUUGUUGGGAAAGAAAAGCAGCAGGUUAAUACCCCGCUGUUCUGACGGUACCCAAAGAAUAAGCACCGGCUAACUUCGUG